rnacentral:rRNA from 1 species
UAGGGAAUCUUCGGCAAUGGACGAAAGUCUGACCGAGCAACGCCGCGCGAGUGAAGAAGGUUUUCGGAUCGUAAAACUCUGUUGUUAGAGAAGAACAAGGACGUUAGUAACUGAACGUCCCCUGACGGUAUCUAACCAGAAAGCCACGGCUAACUACGUGCCAGCAGCCGCGGUAAUACGUAGGUGGCAAGCGUUGUCCGGAUUUAUUGGGCGUAAAGCGAGCGCAGGCGGUUUCUUAAGUCUGAUGUGAAAGCCCCCGGCUCAACCGGGGAGGGUCAUUGGAAACUGGGAGACUUGAGUGCAGGAGAGGAGAGUGGAAUUCCAUGUGUAGCGGUGAAAUGCGUAGAUAUAUGGAGGAACACCAGUGGCGAAGGCGGCUCUCUGGUCUGUAACUGACGCUGAGGCUAGAAAGCGUGGGGAGCAAACAGG